rnacentral:lncRNA from 1 species
CGUUAGUGAGUGAAUCAACUCGUACCUGCUCGCCAGGAAAAACGGAGCAUUUAAUUUAGUUUUUUCAUCUUCUUUAAAAAAAAGCCUUUUUGACAGAUAAUGUUGUGAUUGUGAAGGACAUGAGAGUCUCACUGUUAGGAAUUAGGAUGUUUGGUCGCCAACAAAAGCCCAAGAGAGCGGCCUCUCUCUACUUUCGAACUGUUUGGUCAAAUAUCAUGUUCAAAGUUCAGCGACAAAUUAAAGUAGGGAGACAUGCAUUUUGCAAUAUCUUACUGUUACUUAUGGGAGGCUCCUUUUGAAGUCUCC